UACGUAGGGUGCAAGCGUUAAUCGGAAUUACUGGGCGUAAAGCGUGCGCAGGCGGCUUUGCAAGACAGAUGUGAAAUCUCCGGGCUUAACCUGGGAACUGCAUUUGUGACUGCAUGGCUAGAGUGCGGCAGAGGGGGAUGGAAUUCCGCGUGUAGCAGUGAAAUGCGUAGAUAUGCGGAGGAACACCGAUGGCGAAGGCAAUCCCCUGGGCCUGCACUGACGCUCAUGCACGAAAGCGUGGGGAGCAAAAGGG
rnacentral:rRNA from 1 species